AGCGAACGCUGGCGGCAGGCUUAACACAUGCAAGUCGAGCGGGCAUCUCCGGGUGUCAGCGGCGGACGGGUGAGUAACGCGUGGGAACGUGCCUUCUGGUUCGGAAUAAAUCCGGGAAACUUGAGCUAAUACCGGAUACGCCCUUUUGGGGAAAGGUUUACUGCCGGAAGAUCGGCCCGCGUCUGAUCAGCUCGGUGGUGGGGUUACGGCCGACCGUGGCGACGAUCAGUAGCUGGUCUGAGAGGAGGCUCAGCCACACUGGGACUGAGGCACGGCCCAGACUCCUCAGGGGGGCAGCAGUGGGGGAUAUUGGACAAUGGGGGCAACCCUGAUCCAGCCAUGCCGCGUGAGUGAUGAAGGCCUUAGGGUUGUAAAGCUCUUUUAUCCGGGACGAUAAUGACGGUACCGGAGGAAUAAGCCCCGGCUAACUUCGUGCCAGCAGCCGCGGUAA
rnacentral:rRNA from 1 species